AAAUUGAAGAGUUUGAUCAUGGCUCAGAUUGAACGCUGGCGGCAGGCCUAACACAUGCAAGUCGAGCGGUAGCACAGAGAGCUUGCUCUCGGGUGACGAGCGGCGGACGGGUGAGUAAUGUCUGGGAAACUGCCUGAUGGAGGGGGAUAACUACUGGAAACGGUAGCUAAUACCGCAUAAUGUCGCAAGACCAAAGUGGGGGACCUUCGGGCCUCAUGCCAUCAGAUGUGCCCAGAUGGGAUUAGCUAGUAGGUGGGGUAACGGCUCACCUAGGCGACGAUCCCUAGCUGGUCUGAGAGGAUGACCAGCCACACUGGAACUGAGACACGGUCCAGACUCCUACGGGAGGCAGCAGUGGGGAAUAUUGCACAAUGGGCGCAAGCCUGAUGCAGCCAUGCCGCGUGUGUGAAGAAGGCCUUCGGGUUGUAAAGCACUUUCAGCGGGGAGGAAGGCGGUGAGGUUAAUAACCUCAUCGAUUGACGUUACCCGCAGAAGAAGCACCGGCUAACUCCGUGCCAGCAGCCGCGGUAAUACGGAGGGUGCAAGCGUUAAUCGGAAUUACUGGGCGUAAAGCGCACGCAGGCGGUCUGUCAAGUCGGAUGUGAAAUCCCCGGGCUCAACCUGGGAACUGCAUUCGAAACUGGCAGGCUAGAGUCUUGUAGAGGGGGUAGAAUUCCAGGUGUAGCGGUGAAAUGCGUAGAGAUCUGGAGGAAUACCGGUGGCGAAGGCGGCCCCCUGGACAAAGACUGACGCUCAGGUGCGAAAGCGUGGGGAGCAAACAGGAUUAGAUACCCUGGUAGUCCACGCCGUAAACGAUGUCGAUUUGGAGGUUGUGCCCUUGAGGCGUGGCUUCCGGAGCUAACGCGUUAAAUCGACCGCCUGGGGAGUACGGCCGCAAGGUUAAAACUCAAAUGAAUUGACGGGGGCCCGCACAAGCGGUGGAGCAUGUGGUUUAAUUCGAUGCAACGCGAAGAACCUUACCUGGUCUUGACAUCCACAGAACUUUCCAGAGAUGGAUUGGUGCCUUCGGGAACUGUGAGACAGGUGCUGCAUGGCUGUCGUCAGCUCGUGUUGUGAAAUGUUGGGUUAAGUCCCGCAACGAGCGCAACCCUUAUCCUUUGUUGCCAGCGGUCCGGCCGGGAACUCAAAGGAGACUGCCAGUGAUAAACUGGAGGAAGGUGGGGAUGACGUCAAGUCAUCAUGGCCCUUACGACCAGGGCUACACACGUGCUACAAUGGCAUAUACAAAGAGAAGCGACCUCGCGAGAGCAAGCGGACCUCAUAAAGUAUGUCGUAGUCCGGAUUGGAGUCUGCAACUCGACUCCAUGAAGUCGGAAUCGCUAGUAAUCGUAGAUCAGAAUGCUACGGUGAAUACGUUCCCGGGCCUUGUACACACCGCCCGUCACACCAUGGGAGUGGGUUGCAAAAGAAGUAGGUAGCUUAACCUUCGGGAGGGCGCUUACCACUUUGUGAUUCAUGACUGGGGUGAAGUCGUAACAAGGUAACCGUAGGGGAACCUGCGGUUGGAUCACCUCCUUACCUUAAAGAA
rnacentral:rRNA from 1 species